rnacentral:rRNA from 1 species
AUUGAACGCUGGCGGCAGGCCUAACACAUGCAAGUCGAGCGGAUAAAGGAAGAUUUUUCCUGGCUUACGGGCGGGUCGGGGGAGGGAGGCCUAUGUCUCUGACUGUCCGUGAGGGAUGGGGUUAGGUAAUGGAAACGGAGGCCACAUCCGUCUAUAGUCUGAAGAUCAAGGAUCUUCAGACACCGCCCUAUCAGCUGAGGCUAGGUCGGAUUAGCUAGUUGGUGGGGUAACGGCUUACCUAGGCGACGAUCCGUAGCUGGUCUGAGAGGAUGAGCAGCCACACUGGAACUGAGACACGGUCCAGACUCCUACGGGAGGCAGCAGUGGGGAAUAUUACACAAUGGGCGAAAGCCUGAUGCAGCCAUGCCGCGUGUGUGAAGAAGGUCUUCGGAUUGUAAAGUACUUUUAGUGGGGAGGAAGGGAGGUAAGUUAAUACCUUUGCUCAUUGACGUUACCCGCAGAAGAAGCACCGGCUAACUCCGUG